rnacentral:rRNA from 1 species
UGAGGAAUAUUGGUCAAUGGGCAAAAGCCUGAACCAGCCAAGUCGCGUGAGGGAAGACGGUCCUAUGGAUUGUAAACCUCUUUUGUCGGGGAGCAACGACGCCACGUGUGGCGAAGGGAGAGUACCCGAAGAAAAAGCAUCGGCUAACUCCGUGCCAGCAGCCGCGGUAAUACGGAGGAUGCGAGCGUUAUCCGGAUUUAUUGGGUUUAAAGGGUGCGUAGGCGGAACGUUAAGUCAGCGGUAAAAUUGCGGGGCUCAACCCUGUACCGCCGUUGAAACUGGCGUUCUAGAGUGGGCGAGAAGUAUGCGGAAUGCGAGGUGUAGCGGUGAAAUGCAUAGAUAUCACGCAGAACUCCGAUUGCGAAGGCAGCAUACCGGCGCCCAACUGACGCUGAGGCACGAAAGCGUGGGGAUCGAACAGGAUUAGAUACC